UUUUUUUAUUUAUACUUGAAAAAAAGGUAAGAAAAUACACAUAACAUUAAGUUUACUCUCAAAUCUAUUUCUUUGGUCAGUAUGUUUGUGCAGAGGCCGGAACCAUACCAUUUUAAUCACAUAGGGUUUUUGUUUUUAAUAUGUGAAUUUCUAUUUUUAAAAAGAUUUUAUUUAUUUGACAGAGAGAGUGACAGAGCACAGCAGAGGUAGUGGUAGAGGGAGAGAGAGAAGCAGACUCCCUGCUGAGCAGGGAGCCCAAUGUGGGGUUUGGUCCCAGGACCCUGGGAUUAUGACCUGAGCCGAAGGCAGACGCUUAACUGACUGAACUGCCCAGGUGCCCCAACCACAUAGCUUUAUAGUAAAUUUUCAAAUCAGGAAAUGUGAGUCCUCGGAUUUGCUCUUUUUUUUCUUCCCAAAAUUGUAUUGGCUAUUUGGGGUCUCUUGAGAUUCAAUAUAGAUUUUCGGAUGAAUUUUUCUAUCUCUGCAAAAAAAGUUGGGAUUUUAACGGAGAUUGCGUUGAAUCUGUAGACCGAUCACCUCUUAAUAUUAAAUCAGGCACCCAGGGAAGAGGGGAAAAUAUUUGCAAAUCAUACAUCUGAUGUGGCAUGAAUGGCCACAUAUAUAAAGAACUCCUAUAACUCAACAACACAAAACACAAACAGCUCAAUUAAAAGAAGAGGGGGCCAAAAGACUUGAAUAGACGUUUCUGCAAAGAAGAUAUACAUAUGACCAAUAAUUGCCUGAAGAAAUGAGAAUUCGGAGUAUGAAUCCUAGGAAAUGCAAACCCAAACCCCAAUGAGAUACUAUUUCAUACCCAUUAGGAUGGCUAUUGUUAAAACAAAAUGAAACAAAGAAAAGCAGAAAGUAACAAGUAUUGUUGAGAAUGUGGAGAAAUGGGAACCUUGGUGCCCUGCUGGUAGGAAUGGAAAAUGCACCAGCCACCAUACAAAACAGAAUGGCAGUUCCUAAAAAAGUUAAACAUAUCGCCACCACAUGAUCCAGCGAUCCCACUUCUGGGUAUUUACCCAAAAGAGUUGAAAGCAUGUUCUCAAAGAGGUAUUCAUUCACCCAAUGUUCACAGCAGGAUUAUUCAGAAACAGUCAAGAGGUACAAGCAACCCAAGUAUCUAUCCAUUGACAGAUGAAUGGAUAAACAAAAGGUGGCCCAUCCAUACAACAGAAUGAUAUUCAGCCUGAAAAAGGAAGGACGUUCUGGCACCUGGCACAACAUGGAUGAACCAUGAGGCUAUCACGCUCAUCAAAAUAAGCCAGACACCAAAGGACAAAUACUGUAUGAUUCCACUUAUAAAAGUGACCUAAAGGAGUCUCAUCCACAGAGACAGAGAGUAGAUGGUGGGAGCCAGGAGUGGGGAGUCAGUGCUUCCUGGGGACAGGGUUCCGUGUUGGGAGAUGGAAAGUUCUGGAGAUCGGUGGUGGGGGUGGUUGCAUAACAGUGUGGGUGGGCUUCAUGCCACUGAGCUGUGCACCUUAAAAUGGUUAAGAUGGCACAUUUAAAAAAAUAUUUACUUAUUCAUUCAUUCAUUCAUUCAUUCAUUCAUUUAAGAGAGUGGGAAUAGGGGCAGAGGAGAAAAUCCACAAGGAGACUCCCAGGUGAGUGCAGAGGCCCGCCACGGGGCUCCAUCCCAGGACCCAUGAGACCCUGACCUGAGCCUGAGCCGAAACCAAGAGUCAGACACCUAAUCGACUGAACCACUCAAGCACCCCAACGAUGGUACAUUUUCUAUUUUGUAUUUUAUCACAAUUGGAAAUUAAGAAAGAAAACAGAAAGAAUGGAAGAGAGGAAGAGAAGGAGGAAGAGCCAAAUCUAGCCUCACAACUUUUUGUACAGCCUUUGAUCCAAAGAUGUUUUAUCUUUUUAUCUUUUUUUUAAAAUACUUUAUUUAUUUAUUUGACAGAGAGAAGGAGAGAGAGAGAAGGUGCACACAAGAAGGGGGAACAGCAAAGGGAAAAGGAGAAGCAGUCUCCCUGCUGAGCAGAUCCAUGUGGGGCUGGAUCCCAGGACCCUGAGAUCAUGACCUGAGCUGAAGGUAAAUGCUUAACCGAAUGAGCCACCCAAGUGCCCCUAAGAUGUUUUAUCUUUUAUUUUAUUUUAUUUUUUUGUUUUAUGUUUUAAAUGUUUGUAUACAUGCUGCCGAAGCGAGCACUCUUUUAAAUGUUUGAAGAAAACAGAAGAAUAUUUCCUAACAUAAGACAAUUAUAUACAAUUCAGAUUUCAAUAUUUAUAGUUUUAUUGGCACAUAGCUGUGCCUGUUAGUUUA
rnacentral:lncRNA from 1 species